rnacentral:rRNA from 1 species
GGGGUUAAAAUUAAUAAAAUUGGGGUAAUAAAAGAAAUUUUAAUGUUAAAAAUAUUGUAAUGGGGGUUAAAGUAUUUUUAAUAGAAAAAAUUUGAAAUUUUAUAGUUUAAUAGUAUUGUAAAAGAAGUUUGAAAUAAUUUGAAAAUAAAUUUUUAUAAAAGUAGAUUUAUUUUAUUGUAUCUUGUGUAUCAGAGUUUAUUAAAUUAUAUUUUAAUUAAUAAAUUUCUCGAAUUUAAAAGAGUUAAUUAAUUAUAAAAUUUAUUGUUUUAUAAAUAUUUUAAAUAAUUAGUUUGAAAUGAAAUGUUAAUCGUUUUUAAAUAUAUCUAGUUUUUUUAGAAAAAAAUUUAAUUUUUAAUUAAAUUUAUAAAUUAAUUAAUUAAUUAAUUAAUUUAUAAAUUUAAUUUAAUAUUUUAGGGGAUAAGCUUUAAAUUAAAUUUUUAUAAUUAAUUUAAUUUAAUUUUAAAAAUUUUAUAAUUUAUAUUGUUAAUAAAAUUUAAUUUAUUAUAAAUAAUUUUAAAUUAAAUCAAAAUUUAAAUUUUAAUUUAAUUUUUUAUGAAAAAAUAAUUUUUAAUUAAAUAUAUUUAGGUAUAAUGAUAAAAUUAGUAUAUAAUUUAAAUAUUUAGAUUUUUAUUUUAAAAUAAUUAUUUAAAAGGAAUUCGACAAAUGUAUAUAUUCACCUGUUUAUCAAAAACAUGUCUUUUUGAAAAUAAUUUAAAGUCUAAUCUGCCCACUGAUUUAAUUGAAGGGCUGCAGUAUAUUGACUGUACAAAGGUAGCAUAAUCAAUAGUCUCUUAAUUGGUGACUUGUAUGAAAGAUUGGAUGAAAUAUAAAUUGUCUCUUAAAUAUUAGAUUGAAUUUAAUUUUUUAAUUAAAAAGUUAAAAUGAUUUAAAAAGACGAGAAGACCCUAUAGAGUUUUAUAUUUUUAUAAUUGAAAAUUAUAAAUUAAUUUAAAAAUUUAAAUUUAUAUAAAUAUUUUAUUGGGGUGAUAGAAAAAUUUAUUUAACUUUUUUAAAAAAUAAACAUAAAUAAGUGAAUUGAUGAUCCAAUUUAUAUUGAUUAUUAGAAAAAAUUACCUUAGGGAUAACAGCGUAAUUUUUUUUUUUAGUUCAAAUAAGAAAAAGAGUUUGCGACCUCGAUGUUGGAUUAAGAUAAAAUUUAAGUGCAAAAGUUUAAAAUUUUUGAUCUGUUCGAUCAUUAAAAUCUUACAUGAUCUGAGUUCAAACCGGCGUAAGCCAGGUUGGUUUCUAUCUUUUAAAAAAUUUAAUAUUUUAGUACGAAAGGAUUAAAUAUUAUAAUUAAAUUAAAUUUAUCUGAUUAUUAUUAAGUUAUAAUUUAUAAUUAUA